rnacentral:antisense_RNA from 1 species
GGUUGCUGCUCUCCAUGAGCUGUUCCAACUGUGAAGCAAAAGCUUCAUGCAUAAAGGCAUCCCAACGCAGUCAAUGACGCAUAGGAGAAAGAGGACAGAGAUAAGCUUCUUGCCUGUUCCAGACACUGAGGAUCAGGCAGAGAGAGAGGCUCCUGCCAGGCUGAGCUUUUCCGGAGUGUGGAUAUGAACAGCCAUCUUGGGUCCUGAGGUGGAAGCCAUGUGUGGAAGAUGGAGGGCAUCGGUUAGAAGGAGUCUAGUCCCUGAUGGUCACUGAGCUGCAGAACCAGCCUGGGCUGCUUCCUGCUGGAUGUCACUUACUAGAGAGCGAAAUUAAUGUGCUUCAGCUACUGUUA